rnacentral:rRNA from 1 species
AUUGAACGCUGGCGGCAGGCCUAACACAUGCAAGUCGAACGAGUGGCGGACGGGUGAGUAAUGUCUGGUAAACUGCCUGAUGGAGGGGGAUAACUACUGGAAACGGUAGCUAAUACCGCAUACCAUCAGAUGUGCCCAGAGGGGAUUAGCUAGUUGGGGGGGUAACGGCUCACCAGGGCGACGAUCCCUAGCUGGUCUGAGAGGAUGACCAUCCAAACGGGAACUGCGAGACGGGACAGACUCCGACGGGAGGCAGCAGUGGGUAAUAUGGCACAAUGGGCGCAAGCCUGAUGCAGCCAUGCCGCGUGUAUGAAGAAGGCCGUCGGGUUGUAAAGUACUUUCAGCGGGGAGGCGUUACUCGCAGAAGAAGCACCGGCUAACUCCGUGCCAGCAGCCGCGGUAAUUC